AAGAAUAAAAGACGGACGGCAGAUUUUACUAAACAACGCAGUUUGUGCUACGUACAGUAAGAUGCGAGUAGGCGGAUAGUGAUUGAGUUUCGUCUCCAUCGCGGCUUUAUACUCAAGUAAUGUAAGUAGAGUUAAGUUAGGUAAAGUAGCAUGAUAAUUGUUAAUUCUGGCCAGAUAGAAGGAUCCAUUUUUUUUUUUUUUUAAAUAAUACAACUUUCCCAAUUUUACAACGUUCCAACUUUACAAAUUUCCUUAAAACUCGGUCACUGAACUAAUUGUCAAUAACAAAGAGAUAUUACUCGGUAGAUAUCACAGAUUCGAGAACGAAUAUUUUAAAAAUAUAGAAUAAGCAUGCUCAUAGUUUAUUAAAUUAUAAUUAUUGUAGUUAAAGCUAUAAAAGCGAUGAUGAGCAUAUUUUGGUGUUGAACGGGUGUUUUUGAGUCAGUCAGCGUUCCAUCUUGUCACCGCUCCUUUUCCUCCUUUUUAUGCUCUCUCGCAAGUCUUUAGCUUACAUCUUUCGUCGCUUCUUUAUGAGCAGCCUCACAGACUUGACUUUUCUGAUCAAGACAGUUGCCUUUUUUACAACUUGUACACCUAGUUUGUCUUUAAUUAGUUAAAGCUAUAAAAGCGAUGAUGAGCCUUUUUUGGAGUUGAACGGGUGUUUUUGAGUCAGUCAGCGUUCCAACUGGUCACAUCUCCUUUUUAUUCUCUCUCGCAAGUCUUUGGCUUUCAUCUUCCGUCGCAUCUUCAUGAGCGGUCUCACAGUCUAGACUUUUCCGAUUCUCUUUUUUUUACAACCUUUACCCCCGGUUUGCCUUUAAUUAGUUAAAGCUAUAACAGCGAUUAUGAGUCUUUUUUGGUGUUGGACAGGGUUUUUUAAGUCAGUCAGCGUUCCAUCUGAUCACAUCUCCUUUUCCUCCUUUUUACUCUCUCUCGCAAGUCUUUGGCUUUCAUCUUCCGUCGCAUCUUCAUGAGCGGCCUCACAGACUCGACUUUUCUGAUUCUCUUUUUUUUUUACAACCUAUACCCCUGGUUUGCCUUUAAUUAGUUAAAUCUAUAAAAGCGAUGAUGAGCCUUUUUUGGUGUUGGACGGUUUUUUUAAGUCAGUCAGCGUUCCAUCUGGUCACCGCUCCUUUUCCCCCUUGUUACUCUCUCUCGCAAGUCUUUGGCUUUCAUCUUCCGUCGCAUCUUCAUCAGCGGCCUCACAGACACGACUUUUCUGAUUCUCUUUUUUUACAACUUUUACACCUGGUUUGCCUUUAAUUGGUUAAAUCUAUAAAAGCGAUGAUGAGCCUUUUUUCGUGUUGAAAGGGUUUUUUUGAGUCAGUCAGUGUUCCAUCUGGUCACAUCUCCUUUUCCUCCUUUUUACUCUCUCUCGCAAGUCUUUGGCUUUCAUCUUCCGUCGCUUCAUCAUGAGCGGCCUCAUAGACUAGAUUUUUCCGAUUCUCUUUUUUUUACAACUUUUACACCUGUUUUGCCUUUUAUUUAUUUAAAGCUAUAAAAGGGAUGUUGAGCCUUUUUUGGAGUUGAACGGGUGUUUUUGAGUCAGUCAGCGUUCCAUCUUAUCACCACUCCUUUUCCUCCUUUUUACGCUCUCUCGCAAGUCUUUGGUGUUCAUCUUCCGUCGAAUCUUCAUGAGCGGCCUCACAGACUAGACUUUUCUGAUCAAGACGACUUUGCCUUUUUUUGUAACUUUUACAACUAGUUCGCCUUUAAUUAACAACUGCGCUUCUCCUUCUGGUCUUCCUCUUUGACGACUCCGCCUCGCUGUGAGAGUCGUUCUUCUAUUCCUCCGCUUGCCCGUUCCACGAGUCCCUGGGUAGGUUCUCUUUUUUUCAAUCUUCGUUUUCCGACCUUAUCGUACAAAAAGGCUUUUCUUUACCUCGCUCCACAAAAACUCACACACUUCACCACUUCUUCCGAUUCAUGAAAUAUUGAAUUUAUGGAUUCUAAUUCUGGAGCAUGUUCUAAUAUUAUAAGAACAAACCAUUAAUAUUAUGAAGAGGAAAAAUUUAAUUUUUAAUAAAGAAACAUAAAAGUAGAAAUUUAACAAAAAUAGAAUAUCUGUCCACUAACAAUUAUCAUACUACUUAACCAAAUGAACUUAGUCGCACCUCUCUUCUCUUUUUUCAUCUUGGUUUUUCGUGUAAUGUAUUUAUACUACUUGAGUCAUAAAAGCCACAAUGGACAUGGAACUCAAGUCACUGUCCGACUACUCGCACCUACUACGUAUGCACAACACACAUUGAACGUUCUUUAAGAAAAGAAAAAAUCUGUUAUUAACUUCUAAAAAACCGGAGCGUAUCGUACACUGUCGAACCUAAGCUUCGACCACCGUCUGGCAUCUUCUUUUGCAUAGUGCCUCCUGAUCGGCCGGUGCCGCAUAGCGAUUGGUCGUCGAUCACCUACGCUUUCCAACCUAGAGCGUUAUGUCUUCUAAACGAUCAAUUUUGUGAUCAACUAGUCAGCCAGACAGGAACGCGUUAUAAAUGAAUUUCUUCGAAGAUUACUGACAAAUGAUAGCGCAACAAGAAAUUCUAGCAAAGUGGGGAGAAAGUAAAAUAAAUCCCUGCUUAGGGCUGAACGUUUUGAGAAAGAAGCUAGCAUUUCGUCCCAACUAUACCAACGAGAAAAAAAAAAGAGGCUUUCAGCGUUAAAAGCCAAAAGGUGUCUAGGCAGUCGAAACCCUGAUCACUUUUAGCGGAACACAGCGAGAAUAGGCGGACCGGAACGAUCAACCUGCAGUUGUGCACGAUGGUACCACACUGUGCCAAGGACGUACACGAACCCAAUUGGACAUGAAGCUUACCUUUUACGAUCACUGUAAUAUAUAUUUUUAAAUCAUAUUGGAUCAAUAAAUGAGGCUAAAUAUUAUUGCAGAAAUUUAAGAUUUUGAGUUGUUUUCAUUUGACUUUUUGAACUAAAUACCUUGAAUUAGCCAUAUCUUCAUUCUUUCAUUCUUCUCAUACAAAGUUCAUUAAUUUUGAUUUUAUGAGUUUCCGAGUCCUUAAAGAUCAAACAGGACAAAACCGAACACUUCCUAACUUUGGACGGAGGUCAACUGGUCCAAUGUCUAAGUGGUCUUUAGGAACAAAACGUCACGUACGCCCGCAAAUCGGUGAGGCCACAAUUUUCAACUUUCUUAAAGCGGGUUCCAAAGCCAAAACAAAAUAGAAUCAAGUUAAUAAGUUUUGGAGUAAACGAAUCGCCUGUGCUUUUUCGGUUUUCACUUCUCCUAAAAUACGAAGAGCACGUAUAUGCCCAAUUAAGACCAUUGAACCUACGCCGGAUUAACUAGGCAAUCUAGAGCGAAUUUUUGUUCACUAGAACUAUUAAUCUUACAUUAGCAUCUACUUAGGUUGAUUUUAACUUGGGCCCUUUGGGCGUUUCUUCGAUCCAAUGUUGAUAAAACUUAUUUCAUCCUAAUGAUCUCCAAAUGGAGAGGGCGCCGAUGGUGAAAGUGAAAUAGUGAGCCUGUCAGUUGUUAGAACGGGACGUUAACCAGAUCACCUUGGAGAUCCUUUGACCGUCAGUUCUGGUUUAAUAACUCGACCUUUUCUUCCAGGAUAGAAUUUCCUUCCCUGUACUAUUUCGUCCGACGGACAAAAGCGGGUAGCAGGUGCACGUUGGGACGGACGGUGCAGCGUUAAAAAAACGGUACGAAGGUCUCGAAAGACGCCGGAUAAGACUUGGGAGCUUUGUUCAUUCCAGAGAAUUUUCUAUCAAUCGAAUCUAGCUGAAAUUUGUCAAAG